GACGAACGCUGGCGGCGUGCUUAACACAUGCAAGUCGAACGAAAAGAGGGAAAGAGCUUGCUCUUUCCGGAAUUGAGUGGCAAACGGGUGAGUAACACGUAAACAACCUGCCUUCAGGAUGGGGACAACAGACGGAAACGACUGCUAAUACCGAAUAAGUUCCAAGAGCCGCAUGGCUCAUGGAAGAAAAGGUGGCCUCUACCUGUAAGCUAUCGCCUGAAGAGGGGUUUGCGUCUGAUUAGCUGGUUGGAGGGGUAACGGCCCACCAAGGCGACGAUCAGUAGCCGGUCUGAGAGGAUGAACGGCCACACUGGAACUGAGACACGGUCCAGACUCCUACGGGAGGCAGCAGUGGGGAAUCUUCCGCAAUGGGCGAAAGCCUGACGGAGCAACGCCGCGUGAGUGAUGACGGCCUUCGGGUUGUAAAACUCUGUGAUCCGGGACGAAAAGGCAGAGUGCGAAGAACAAACUGCAUUGACGGUACCGGAAAAGCAAGCCACGGCUAACUACGUGCCAGCAGCCGCGGUAAUACGUAGGUGGCAAGCGUUGUCCGGAAUUAUUGGGCGUAAAGCGCGCGCAGGCGGCUUCCCAAGUCCCUCUUAAAAGUGCGGGGCUUAACCCCGUGAUGGGAAGGAAACUGGGAAGCUGGAGUAUCGGAGAGGAAAGUGGAAUUCCUAGUGUAGCGGUGAAAUGCGUAGAGAUUAGGAAGAACACCGGUGGCGAAGGCGACUUUCUGGACGAAAACUGACGCUGAGGCGCGAAAGCGUGGGGAGCAAACAGGAUUAGAUACCCUGGUAGUCCACGCCGUAAAC
rnacentral:rRNA from 1 species